rnacentral:rRNA from 1 species
UGGGGAAUUUUGGACAAUGGGGGCAACCCUGAUCCAGCCAUGCCGCGUGAGUGAAGAAGGCCUUCGGGUUGUAAAGCUCUUUUACCAGGGACGAUAAUGACGGUACCUGGAGAAUAAGCCCCGGCAAACUUCGUGCCAGCAGCCGCGGUAAUACGAAGGGGGCUAGCGUUGUUCGGAAUUACUGGGCGUAAAGCGCACGUAGGCGGAUUGUUAAGUCAGAGGUGAAAUCCCGGAGCUCAACUUCGGAACUGCUAUUGAUACUGUAUAACUUGAAUCAGGUUGAGGUAAGCGGAAUGUGACAUGUAGCGGUGAAAUGCUUAGAUAUGUCAUAGAACACCAAUUGCGAAGGCAGCUUGCUGGGCUUUGAUUGACGCUGAGGCACGAAAGCGUGGGGAGCAAACAGGAUUAGAUACCCAGGUAGUCCCUGAGCGGGCUGGCAAGGCGCAU